CAACAUGCAGAUGGUGUCUACCUGCUUCCCCAACCAACUUCUCACUAUUCGCCUGAUUGCAUGUAACAAGUGUGCCUUUUGUAGAUCGAUAGCCUUACUAACCUACAGAUACACUCCCACUCCCUGGCAUGCUGGUAAAGUUGGACUUCCUGCACUGCCACCAAUGUGCCGUUCAUUAAAAUAAAAUAAAAAAAUCACUAGUAUCCCAUAGGUAAGGUACAUUGAUGAAACUAUAUUCCUGCUGAAAGUGAAUCACAAGAAUAGAACAG